rnacentral:misc_RNA from 1 species
AACGCACAUUGCGCCUUCCGGGCUCCACCCGGGAGGCAUGCCUGUUUGAGCGUCAGUAAACACCCCUCGGGCGAGUUUGAUUUGUUUCUGCUCGCGCCGGUCAUUGGGCGUUCGGGUGUAAGCGAGGCGGCAGGCACUUCUCCGGAAGUGUUCGCUGACCUUUUCACCCGCCUUAAAUCUGUUUUGCUGCAGCACGACCGCUGGGAAAGUCGCUUUCCUGUCACAAGUAGCGGGGUCAACGGAGUGGAAAUCUCACUAGUCCGGUGCCCGUAGCUGUGACGUAAAAGGGAACUGCGAUAGCCGGUGGCGCAAAACCAACAAAGGCAAACUUGUUUUGCUGAAGUUUGACCUCAAAUCAGACAAGGAUACCCGCUGAACUUAA